AUGAUGCGGGAGAAACGUUCUAUUACUGUGGCUAAAGGUACACACGUCGAGAAGAAACACGCACAGGGCGACUUGAUGUUUGCAGUUAAGGAGUGGAAAGUAGGAUUUAAUGUUACUCACACUGUGUGUGUGUGUGUGUGUGUGUGUGUGUGCGUGUGUGUGUGUGUGUGUGUGUGUGUGUGCGUGCGUGCAGAGGGGAACAACGGAGUGCAGUGUCUGCUGUGUGGAAAUCGGUUUGCCAGCGUGAAGAACAUGAUCAAACACCAGGAGAAGGCUCACGCUGAUGAAGUGCGGCAACACAAGGAGAGAGCCAGAGCAGUGGUCCUCCUGGCGUCCAGUCAUCCUGUGGCGUUUGUCCAGAGCAAACUCUCCCAGGAAAACAAAAGUAUGGCGUCCAUCCCCGAAGGCGGCGAGCCACCCAACCCCGAACCAACCACCCCCAAAGCCACAGCGCCAUCAGCAGCCGGCGCCACCGACGACUCUGCUACCGCCAUCGCCAUCCUGCAGGACUUCAAGGCAGAGCCCGCUCACCCCGCCAUCACCACCGCCGACCAGGUGACCUUCGAACCCGACCAGGAGCAGACCAUCAACUCAGACACCCUCCACGCUCUGGUGGAGCAGCUGCGGCCGCCGCCCUCCCCCGCCCAGAGCCUGGAGCAGAUCGUCAUCAUCAGGACGGUGGACAACCCUGAACACAACCCUCCGCAGCAGUGAGCCCCCCCCCCCCCCCCCUCGGGGGUCACUGGUGGAACAUUUUCACUUUUUAACUUACAAGCCAGUUCGGGUCAAAGUCAGCGCUCACAUUCAGCCUCGUGUCCCAUCGAGUAGUUUUAAUGGACUUCCAGUCUGCAAGGGAAAGAUGAUUGUUGUAUAACUUCACCACGUUCACAGCUGAGAUCAGGAAACACACACGUUGUAAACAAACUGUCCGUUAUGAACGUCCGGCAUCGACUUCCUCCCUCACUGUCGUCGUGUGCACAGUUCUUGUGCAUUAAAGGAUUAUUACCAACAUUUCAGGAGCGCUCACUUUCAGACCGAAACGAAGUGGUUUAAAUAAUCUGGAUGAACACUUUGUGUACAAACUGUCUAAUUGCUGAUGAUUACUUUGACUUAGUAUUACGUUAUUAUUACUCAUUAUUACUAAAUGAUGGUGAAACUAGAAAAAAAGACCUGAAUUGUAAGAAAACAAAGAUUAAUCCUUUAACUCAUUUCCUGUCUCUAUUUAUUUUGGUUUCCACAAACAACUGAAAACAUUUACCGUCUACUUCUCCGUCAUGUCUGACUGUCUCAAGAGGACACUUUUAAUCCCUUCGUUGGUCUAAGUCACUAAAUCUUCAUUCAGAAAGCACUGAUCUGGUGCCAGUACUGACCCUAACAGGAGGCUCGUGGGACAUGACCGAUACAAAUUAAAUACAAAUUCUUGUCAAUGUCCAAAAGUCCAAAAACGUAAUUGUUGGGCCACAAACUCCAGGAGCCUUUUUUUGUAAUUUUUCUAAAUACAAACAUGUUUUUCUUUUUUUACACAAAGAGAUUUAAAGAUUUUAAAUAUGUGUAAAAAAGAGCUUCAGCUGAUAUCUUGAGUUUGGGUGUGAAAAAGAAGAAUCUGCUGAUAUGUGGACAUGUUGACGUCGGAUAGAAACCGCCGCUGCCGUCACUACUUUACCAAAAAACUUGAGACCAACAUUUUCUCGGACGUCGAUGUUACUGCAGUUGCUCUUCUGCUGCAGCUCUGGUUGUAUUAAUGAUCUCAUGAAACGUUUCUCAGACCUCAACGUCGGGCAAAUAAAUGUGUCGGCCAGAACAACUCGUACAUUGUUUUAAUAGAUGAUGUAGUUGGUAGGAGCCGUGAUCGCCACGAGAUAUGAUUUUAAUCAUAAGUGUCUGACGUGAUGGUGGCUUUAUUAAUCUAAACAACAAGGUUUUUGUUUCAGUGUAUUAUAGUUUUUAUUUUUUAAAGCAGCUGUUUUAGGACUUAGCAGAAGAGUUUGUGCUUCAAGUUUAAAAAGUGCAUUAUAUUUCUAUCAACUUGAAAGUGAAGUUUUUGUUUCAUGCUAUUUUCUUUUUUUUUAGAGAGAGAGAGAGAUAUAUAUAUCUGUGACCAGAAGAAUGUGCAGGUUUGUGAGAGAAAUAAAUGGUAAUGUUUAAAAAAUAAGAAUAUAUUAAUAGUAAAGUAACCAAACACACUUUUAUUUCGUCAUUCAUAAAACCGUGACUUCAGGCGGAUUGUCUUUAAAAAGAUGCAAUAAUCUGUUGAUUAAUUAAUUUGUUGCUUGUAAAUGAGAUUAAGUUUCAUAAUAAUGUAAGAAUAUACAUUUAGAGUUGUGUGUUU
ensembl:lncRNA